rnacentral:rRNA from 1 species
GGAUUAGAUACCCUGGUAGUCCACGCCGUAAACGAUGUGCGCUAGCCGUCGGGCAGCAUGCUGUUCGGUGGCGCAGCUAACGCGUUAAGUUCUCCGCCUGGGGAGUACGCCGGCAACGGUAAAACUCAAAGGAAUUGACGGGGACCCGCACAAGCGGUGGAGCAUGUGGUUUAAUUCGAAGCAACGCGCAGAACCUUACCAGACCUUGACAUGGGGAGUUUGGUCUUUGGAGACGAAGGCCUUCAGUUCGGCUGGCUGCCGCACAGGUGCUGCAUGGCUGUCGUCAGCUCGUGCCG